rnacentral:rRNA from 1 species
CUCUAUGGAUAUACCACCCUGAAUAUGCCUGAUCUCAUGAAGCUAAGCAAGGUUGGGGCUGGUUAUUACUUGGAUCGGAGAAAUAAGAUCAAUUCAGCUUUUUAAAAAAA